UACGAAGGGGGCUAGCGUUGUUCGGAAUCACUGGGCGUAAAGCGCACGUAGGCGGAUGUGCCAGUCAGGGGUGAAAUCCCGGAGCUCAACUUCGGAACUGCCUCUGAUACAGCACGUCUUGAGUCCGGAAGAGGUGGGUGGAAUUCCUAGUGUAGAGGUGAAAUUCGUAGAUAUUCGGAAGAACACCAGUGGCGAAGGCGACUUACUGGACACAUAUUGACGCUGAGGUGCGAAAGCGUGGGGAGCAAACAGG
rnacentral:rRNA from 1 species